GGGCAGCACAAAACCAGGAUACACCACUGGGUGUGUGUCUGUGUAUCAAAGUGUGUGUAUCUGUGUUUGUAUGUGCCAGUGUGUGUAUCUGUGUGUCAGUGUGUAUGGUGUCUGCUGUUGAUUAAAAUGCAUGUAUAUGUUACAAGUUUUAUUCUUUGAUCUUUUCCCCCCCAGCUAUUCUAAAACAUUCUGUAAGAAGUGACCAGUUAGGGUGGGUAGGUUAGGAGCAUGCCUUGACUGUUUUCGAGACAGGAUGGCUUGGGAAAACACAUACUCGCAUGGUUACACCUAGAUGUUAAUUACUCUGAUGUUCUGAUCUCCUGAUAACAUGAUUCUUGCAACCUUUAUAUUAAAGAUGUACACAAUAUUUCUUACAUAUGUGUUGGUAAUUAAGCAC